rnacentral:rRNA from 1 species
UAGGGAAUCUUCCGCAAUGGACGAAAGUCUGACGGAGCAACGCCGCGUGAGUGAGGAAGGCCUUCGGGUCGUAAAGCUCUGUUGCCAGGGAAGAACGUCGUGGAGAGUAACUGCUCUGCGAAUGACGGUACCUGAGAAGAAAGCCCCGGCUAACUACGUGC